ensembl:lncRNA
UGUUUACGUUCCUCCAACUCUCCAAACGAAAAGUUCUUCUUCUUUCGGAGAACCUUCAUAUCCUCUGAGAGUCGCCUCAGCUUAUCAAAUGUUGUUAACAUGCCUGUUUGUCAGAGUUUGAAAAAGGCGAGUCUGAAGAUCAUCCACUCAGAGCCAAAGACUCCGCCCACUACGGUGGAGUUAGUGGGACUGGUGGAGGAGCAGAGGAAGGAGAAGAAGAUGUAUGAGAAAUCUGCGAGGCUUUACCUCAGACAGCCCCUGCACUUCUUCCCUCACACACUCCUCCUGCAGCAGAGCUUCACCAUGGACCUCCUCAAAGGCCUUUACAUCCUGGAGACAAAGGCUGGUUUCCAUGACGACAGGGAGCUGGUCCACACCCUGACUCUGGGCUACCGGCUGCCGACUCCUUUUGUGUGCUCUGCCCUGAUCCAUCCUUUCAGCUCCAGCAUUGUUCACACACACUCACAAAUGUGUGUGAACGUAAGCAUCAACCAGACUCAUAAAGAAAUCCAAUCCAGGUUUCGGGUCGGGAGCAAAGACAGACUGACUCUGUUUGGUGAAAUCCAGUCCAACCGUUUGGGUUCAAGUCAGGAAAUGUUAAAGAUUAAAGUCAACAUGUUCAAUCAGCUCCAGCUGAAUCUGCCUUCCUCUGCUUUACUGGAAGGAGACGUUCACUGGAAACCAUCAGACAGGAAAGACUUUGAUUAUCAGGCCAAAGUGAAGCUGAGAGUGGAACGACAGGAGUGUAGAGUUUCUGUUCAUGUGAACGGAUCGUCAGGCAGAAUCAGCCUCUGUUCUACUCUCAGUCAUCCCUUCAAAUCAAAGAUUCCCAAAACGUUGGAGGUGAGCGCUGCUGCAGAGCUCUCCACUGUUCCCGGUAGAGGAAGCAGCUCCGUACGCGUUCGGGCCGAUGGGAAGGACGCGCUGCUGCUGCACGCCCAGACGUUCCAUUCCCUCCACAGAGGAGAGAGAGCUGUGGAGCUGAAGCUGAACGUCUCUCAGAGCCUCCUCCUUCCUACCAUCAGUGACCUGCAGCUCAACAUGUCUGCCAACGUGUCCUCUAACAGCGUGUGUCUACAUGGAUCCUUCACACAGGGUCACAGAGCUCUGCUCGCCCACAUUAAAGCGUCACUAAAAGCCUCUCAGGGCGUACAGAUCACUGUGACUGGAGACUUAAGACACACCAUGACACAGACUCUUCGUCUUCCUCCUGUUCUUGGGUUGGACGGAGCAUUUGGAAAGAUCGACGAUUUUAUUGAAGGACAGCUGAGAGUCAGAGUGAUGGAGACGUUGUACAGCCUGGAGCUGCUGCAUCAGACGCACACAGACAGAGACGAUGAGGAAAACUCAUCCAGCGGCUCACGUGAUUGGCUGUGUGUUACAUAUGGGGCGGAGUAUUUAUGUGUGAACAUGAGUUGCCAGGUUGGGAGCGACGAGAAGGGAGAGUUUCACACACAGGUCACACAUUCUUCCCACAUCCUCAAUGCCACAGGUGUUCCUGCCAACAGCAGCGUUCAUCUGCUGUGGACUCAGAGCGAUGGUCGACUGUCAGUCGAAGCGGAGCUGCUCAGUGGUGUUGAACGUCUCAGAGCUGAGUUGGAUGGAGGGAGGACGGAUGAUGGAGUCCCUCAGUGGCAGUUCUUCCUCCAUCUGCAGAACCGAGUCAAAGCCCUGCAGGACAGAAACAUCUCAGGCUUUUAUGAAGGUCGAGCACAUUACCAGCUAGAAACAGACGGACUGAACACAGGCCUCGUCGUUUACGUAGAAAACGUGAAGGUGGUGGAUGUUGUGUUUAAAGUGGGAGCAAAGAACCAAACAGCUGCGAUGGCUGCGUCUUUACAGCAUCAUGUGAUCCUCCUCCAAGGACUGGUUCCCUCCUCUUUACAGAUAAGCUGCACGGGGGAUUUCUCUGAACAGCUACUCACUGCUAACUGCUACGGACGUGUGGAGGAGAUGCAGCCUGUGGAGGUCUUCCUUUCUGUUGAUGGACUUUUAUCUGGACGCUACAGGGCUCAGCUCACCGUGACAGUGGACAGACUAAAGCUACUGAGCUCAGAGCUAAACAUCAGCGCUGCAGAUGGACAUCUGGCUCUACACCUCUCAGCUUCUCCUCUUAGUUUCAAUCAGACAGAACCAGCGCACAUGGUGGACGCUGUUCUCACAGCACAGUUCAAAGGGCCGAUACAAAGCUCCUCCGUAGACGUGCACAGUCCAGGGUGGAGGGUUCGUCUGCAGGGCGAUGUCGGGGGUUUGGAGACACACGGAGGAACCAAAGAGACCAGGCUGACGUUAAAGCACACCAUCAAAGGACGAACCAGUCCGGCCCUGCAGGUGGAGGCCUGGGGGAGACUGAGCUCAUCACAGCUGAGAUGUUCCAUGGCUGUAAACCCUGAACUCAGCUCAUCACUCGCUCUGAUUGUCCAAGGAAACACUGCAUCGCACAGUAAGGACCUGAUGGUGAAGGUGGUCCAUAACGUCCCCCAGAUGUUGGUCCAUCUACCUGCUCAGCUUAAUGUUCGUUCUCAGCUGACUCAGUCUAACUCCAGUGUUCUGGUUCUGGUGGAGGUCUCGUCAGGCAGGAGGAGGAGACUGUGGGCUGUGUGUGAGCUCUCAGCCAAUCAGAGCAGACGUAGUCAGGCUCUGGAAGUCAAACACUCGUAUCCACAGCUGAAACCUCUUCCCAGGACGGUGGUCAUGAGGACCACGAUGGACGCCAGGGGGUGGAGCUACGAGCUGCAGCAUGGGGUGGUGUGGGGCAGUCAGGAAGUCAACGUGUCUGCUCUGUAUUCGGCUCCACCUGCCCUGCACAUGGGCAACAACACCCUGAAGGUGCAGAUCAGCUGUGUUCCACGUGUGAGCAGCAUGGACGUCACGCUGCAGCGUUUCCUCCAUGGACGACUUGACAGUGUCUCACUGGGAUGGAUGAGACACGGCAAACUGGAGCAGGUUCGAGCUCUGAGCUCGUGGAGUCGCUCUGAGGAGACGAAUGAGACAAAGCUGGAGCUGACGCAGCCUUUCUCCUCCUCGCUACGUCACCUGUCCGUGCACACGCUGACACACAGCAGCCGUCAGCAGACAUUUUUGUCGUGGGACAACAUCUCCAUCAGUCUGGACAGGAAGUGGCAGAAUAACUCCAGCAGGGGGCAGGCGUGUGCACAACAGACAGCCUCCUCCGUUAAAGGAUGUGUGUCCGUCGUCCAAGAGGGGAACUUAUAUUCACAGAAUGCAGAGCUGAAAUGGGACAACAGGAGUGUGAAUCAAAGCCUGAAAUAUCAGAAAGCUCCACGGUCGAUGCAUCGUCUCCAGCUGAGCAUGGAGCUGGACGGAGCGUCUCCUGCUCCGUGUCAGUCCCACUCUGUACUGGUUAAAGUUCAGACCAACCUCAGGGAUCGUCUGGAUCACUGGGUCCUGCUGGGGGUGUGUCCUCUACAGCCUACUGUGUCGUGGUCAGGAUCCCACAGACUGAACGUAGACCAGAAGGUUCUCUACUCCCAGUCCCGCCUGUCGCUGUCAGGACGACCGACUCACUACAGCUUCACCCUCGGCCUCAUCAACUCAUCCAACGCUCAGACGACCAACAUCACUCUGUUCUCUGAGUCUAAGGUGGGGAACUGGAGUGUGGAGACUGGGGCCAGUCUUCUGUCCUGGUCCAGAGGAGCAGGACUUCAGGUCCAGGCUACCAUGGACCACGUGGAGAAACUGUGGAUCAGCACGUUGAUGGAGGGCAGAUGUUUUCACACCACAGCCGGCUUCAAGAACGUUUCAGGUGUGAACAGUGAGCAUUACAACGUGAAAGCGUGCGUGGAAAGGAAUCAAACUCUGAUGCUUGACGUCAGCGGCGGUGAUGGUGGUGAUGGUGGUGAUGGUGGUGAUGGUGGGGGUCAGUCUGACACUUUAGGCAGCGUGUGUGUGGGAGGAGCCAAGCAGAGGCUGUUCCUCACAGCGACUGGAUGUUUGCACAGUUUAACUACAGCAGAGGAACGACUGGAAUCCCUGAGUUCAAAGAUCUGCAAUAAACUGAGAGAGAGAGUCAGAAGAGUGAAGCAGCUGAUUGUGGAGUUUAGGCGACAGAGCAGAGACAACCAACUGCUGCAGGAGCUGAGUGUGUUGCCUCUGCAGCUCUCCCAGCGCGUGGACACGCUGCUCGUGCACAAACACACGCGCCCGUUGUUUCUGUGGCGCAGCAGCUCGCUACGUCACCUUCUCACCCAAAGCCUGCCUCGGUUCCUGGCUCUGCUGCAGCACGCCUCCAUCCUGGCACAGCAAGAACUGAAGAGGCCCCUGGCCACUCUAGCUGGCGUCUACCAGGACGUCCAGGGCCAGAGGUUGGAGACCCUGUGGAGGGAGAAGCUCCAUCUGUGGAAGGAGAAGCUCCACCAGGUUUCUUCUUCUCUCCUUCAGAACCCUCAGCUCAGGUCUCUGUCACAAGCCUCCAUCAGCACGCUGAGCACCGCUCUGGACCUGGCAGGACAACAGACUCACCUGUGGAUGGAGUCCAGGAUGGCCACGGCUCUGUCUGGACUCCGCAGACAGCUCGCCUCCGUCUACAAACUAAAUCCAUGUUCAGUGGCUUUCUCUGUGCCACUGCCACGUCUUUCUGAGUCACGGGUAGCUCAGAGUGGACUGAUGGGGGUCCUGUUGGAGGAGGGGGUCCUGACUCCUCUGCAGAGUCUGGCCCCAGUGGGACUCACAGCUGAACUGUACCGAGUGAAGAGGAAACUCAUGGACGGACCGUUCACACACCAGGCUUUGUUGGUGGCGGAUCAGUUCGUGGUCACCUUUGAUGGUCUCCUGUACGAGCUCCCAGCGUCGUGUCCUCUCCUCCUGGCACACGACACCAGUCCUGAGGCUGCGUUCACGCUGCUGCUGGGCCCGGACGCACACAGCCUCCUCCUGCUAAACGUCAACAACGUGACGGUGGACGUCCAACGUGACGGACGGGUGAAGUCAGACUGUAGCAGCAACAACAACAACAAGGCGCUCACACGCAAACACGUGACCAUCAGGAAACAUGGCAACGCUGUCCAAGUGUCCAAUCAGAAGGGAGCGUCAGUGUCAUGUGAUCUGCUGCUGGAGUUGUGCACCUUCACUCUGGAUGGAUGGUUACAUGGUGUUUCCGGUGGAAUGUUCGGGAUCAACGACUACGAUGCUGGAAAUGAUUUUCUUUUACCAAACGGAUCCAAAGCUGAAAACUCAGCGACGUUUCUCCACGGUUGGAAAAUGAAACCAGUGUGUGAUAAAGUUGCCACAUCAGCCACUUCCAGUUCAGAGAGAUGUCACUUCCUGUUUGCUUCUCCUUAUUCACCUCUGAGUUCCUGUUUCAGGGUGGUGGAUCCUGGUCAGUUCCUGUCGACGUGCGUCUCCAGCUCCUUCAGAGCGCCGUGUAGGUUAGCUGCAGCUUUCGUUCACCUGUGUCAGCGUAAUUACGUCCCACUGGAGCUUCCUGUUCAGUGCUUGAAAACAUGAAAAGUGGACGAUGUGUUGGAAGAUGAAGAUUUACAACAUUUACGGCCAAAGAUGGAGAACCGGUGGUUGUGAGUUCCAUUACUAACGUAACAAACGCCAGUAUCAAUGAACACACAGUGACCUGUAAACUCAUCAGGUGUAGCUGCUAAUAAUAUGCUAACACUAACCACAUUAAGGUUUCUUUAGUAAAACACUCAAGAUUGUAUUGAAUGGAAAAACCAAAUGUGAUUUCAUGUCACUGGUAAACUUAAUAAACGUAGUUUAUUCUUUGCUGCUGCA